AUUGAACGCUGGCGGCAGGCCUAACACAUGCAAGUCGGACGGUAGCACAGAGAGCUUGCUCUUGGGUGACGAGUGGCGGACGGGUGAGUAAUGUCUGGGGAUCUGCCCGAUAGAGGGGGAUAACCACUGGAAACGGUGGCUAAUACCGCAUAACGUCGCAAGACCAAAGAGGGGGACCUUCGGGCCUCUCACUAUCGGAUGAACCCAGAUGGGAUUAGCUAGUAGGCGGGGUAAUGGCCCACCUAGGCGACGAUCCCUAGCUGGUCUGAGAGGAUGACCAGCCACACUGGAAAUGGGACACGGGCCGGGCUCCUUCGGGAGGCAAGAGGGGGGAAUAUUGCACAAAGGGCGGAAGGCUGAUGCAGCCAUGCCGGGUGGAAGAAGAAGGCCUUCGGGUUGUAAAGUACUUUCAGCGGGGGGGAAGGCGACGCGGUUAAUAACCGCGUCGAUUGACGUUACCCGCAGAAGAAGCACCGGCUAACUCCGUGCCAGCCGCCGCAGUAA
rnacentral:rRNA from 1 species